UGUCCGGUGAUGCGAGAAAGAUGAAAGUUUCACUUUAUGCAAAUUUUGUGUGAUUUAGUGCAGAGACUACCAAUGGUUGUGAGGACAGUAGAGUGAUCCGUGAUCCGCCAUUCUGUCUGUGCGUCCAAAUUUUUUUGUGGACCCAGACAGCUUGUGUUUUCGCCACAGAUAGAUGGCUGCAAUGUCAAAGAACACACACUGCUUCUCCUUCAUAUUGUAGUAUAUGCAUAUAUACUGUACACUUGUGAAUUUUAUAUACAAACGUUCUCCCUCCAGAAUGUUUCAUUUCAGUGGCAAGAAUACUGAUUUGUUGCCGAAAGUGGAAUGCUAAUUGCACCACCCACUGAUAAAUGUUACUAUGGCAACCAGUAGUAGGCACGCCUAUUGGCGACUUCAUAGUACAGCGACUGGCAACUUUCAGUGAUACAAUCGCUAUAUUUGUGAAUUAAUUUCUGAAUUUAUAUUGCUUGUUGUAGCUUAUUUCUGAUUCUGACCUUGUGUUACUUUUGCGCUCUGUUUUUUCCUCUGGUUUUGAGCUUUUCCUGAUAUAUUUUGAAACCCAUUUUGGACUCUUGGAUUGUGUUGUAGCUUGUUUACCUGAUUUUUAAAAUAAAACAAGAGCCUGCACCUGCAUCCAUCUGUGCAUCUAUCUGUGCAUCCAUCUGUGCACAAAAAUGUUUGUGUUUAAAAUGUCUCCAUGUUGAUAAAUGCGUUCCAUUGAAUUAUUUUGAACCAAAACACAACAUCGAGUUUCUGCUUCGUGACGGAUCAACUUCAUCUCCCUCAACUCUACAACAAGUGACUUGGAAGAAAGCGAUGGAUUUCCGAAGAUUUCUGCCGGAUCUGAAGAACUGGGUGAGAUCGCCUGUGCUGCGGGGCUGCUCGUUCUCUCUGCCGGUGCGGGUUACCGUGUUUACCGCCGCAUGCGGAGAGGAAGCGCUCCUCCUGACCACACUCCGUCUCCUCACGAGCCUGAGGAUGUGCUGGAAGAAUCAUUAGACACUCCCUCUGUCCUUCAGGUCAUUGAGCCAAACCUGCAGCUACUGCCCACCGAACAUCACCAAGACCCUUCAGCUGUUGUUCUGCCUCUCAGUGCCGGUGAGACAAGCAGCGCCUGAAGCGAUGUUCAGUUCCUCUCUGCAGACUCCUUCAGCUUCCAGUCUGAGGGUCACGGGGAACCUGGAGCCUAUCCCAAGAAGCAUGGGGCACAAGGUGGGGUACACCCUGGACAGGGUGCCAAUCCAUCGCAGGGCACACAAUCACAUACACAUUCACACACCCAUUCAUACACUACGGACACUUUGGGAAUGCCAAUCAGCCUACCGUGCAUGUCUUUGGACUGGGGGAGGAAACCGAAGUACCCGGAGGAAACCCCCGCAGCACGGGGAGAACAUGCAAACUCCUCACACACAGGUCCACAUCACUAGUAUUCAGUUCAUUUUCAGUGGGAAGUAAUUAGUAAGGAAGAAGUUCAAUCUAUAUUUACUGAAAAUCAUUCUGGGUUAAUUUUCCGUUCCAAAGAGGUUCAUACUGAACAUUGUAAGGCACUAAAUGAAAAUCCUGAACUGCGGUCAAUAUAUGGUGUCAAAAAAUCAUGUGUGCUCAAUUCAUUACAGCAUUUCCAUUGUACUGAUAACUAUGUUGUUGACAUCAUGCAUGAUCUGCUAGAGGGUGUGGUACAGUAUGAACUUAAGUGUGAUUUGUUUCUGUGGAUUUUGCUGUGUAUAAUUUACAUAUACAGGCCAAUAACAGUAAUUCAAGAUACUUUAAGGCAAACUAGGCACAGCUGUGAACCUUCCUAGAUGUGGCCAAACUUCCAAAAUUCCUUCAGGAGCACAGCAACUACUCAUACAGCAAGUCACAAAAGCCAAACGGACAACAGCAAAGGAACUACAGGCCUCUCUUGCAUCAAUAAAGGUCACUGUUCAUGACUCCACUAUCAGAAAGACACUGGGGGGAAAUGGCAUCCAUGGAAGAGUGGUGAGGUGAAAACCACUGCUAACCCAGAAGAACAUUAAGGCUCAUCUGAAUUUUGCCAAAACACACCUUGAUGCUCUUCAAUCCUUUUUGGGAGAAUGUUCUGUGGACUGAUGAGUCAAAAGUGGAACUGUUUAGAAGACACAGGUCCCAAAGACAGAAUUCCACAAAAAGAACAUCAUACCUACAGUCAAGCAUGGUGGUGGAAGUGUGAUGGUGUGGGGAUGCUUUGCUGCUUCAGGGCCUGGACAACUUGCAGUAAUUGAGGGAAACAUGAAUUCUGCUCUCUACCAGAAAAUCCUAAAGGAGAAUGUCUGCUCUUUACUCCGCAAGUUGAAACUCAAGUGCAACUGGAUUCUUCAGCAAGACAAUGAUCCAAAGCAUAGGAGUAAGUGCUGUAUUUCUGGUUCUGACCUUGUUUUAUUUGUUACUCUCUGAACUUGCCUGUUUCCUGAAUUUCUUUGACUUGUUUUGACUCUGAUUCUUGGAUUGUUCACCAGCUUUUUAGUAAAACAUCAACUUGCA